rnacentral:rRNA from 1 species
GCAUGCCUAACACAUGCAAGUCGAACGCUAUUUAUAGAGUGGCGGACGGGUGAGUAACGCGUAGGAAUCUGCCCAGUAGUGGGGGACAACUCGGGGAAACUCGAGCUAAUACCGCAUACGCCCUACGGGGGAAAGUGGGGGAUCUUCGGACCUCACGCUAUUGGAUGAGCCUGCGUCGGAUUAGCUAGUUGGUAGGGUAAAGGCCUACCAAGGCGACGAUCCGUAGCUGGUCUGAGAGGACGGCC